CCUCCCCAACUCAACCUCAUCUUCCUCGCCCAACCUAACAUCAUCAUCUCCCAACUCAACGCUCUUCCUCCCCCAACUCAACCUCAUCUUCCUCGCCCAACUCAACACAAUCAUCUCCCAACUCAACCUCAUCUUCCUCCCCAACAUCAUCUUCCUCCCCAACUCAACAUCAUCUUCCUCUUCCAAUUCAUCACGCUCUUCCUCCUCCAACUCAACCUCAUCUUCCUCCCCAACUCAUCAUCAUCUUCCUCUUCCAACCCAACACAAUCAUCUCCCAACUCAACUCUUCCUCCCCAAAAUCAUCUUCCUCCCCCAACCCAACCUCAUCUUCCUCCCCCACUCAAUGUCAUCUUCAUCCCCAACCCAACCUCAUCUUCCUCUUCCAACUCAUCAUCAUCAUCUCCCAACUCAACGCCCUCUUCCUCCCCAACAUCAUCUUCCUCCCCAUCAACCUCAUCUUCCUCCCCAACCUCAUCUUCCUCACCCAACUCAACCUCAUCUUCCUCUUCCAACUCAACAUCAUCUUCAUCCCCAACUCAUCAUCAUCUUCCUCCCCCAACUCAACCUCAUCUUCCUCACCCAACUCAAUGUCAUCAUCUCCCAACUCAACGCCCUCUUCCUCCCCAAUGUCAUCUUCCUCACCCACUCAUCAUCAUCUUCCUCACCCAACUCAACCUCAUCUUCAUCCCCAACUCAACGCUCUUCCUCCCCAACCUCAUCUUCCUCCCCAACUCAACAUCAUCUUCCUCCCCAACCCAACCUCAUCUUCCUCCCCCAACUCAACCUCAUCUUCAUCCCCAACUCAUCAUCAUCUUCCUCACCCAACCCAACGCAAUCAUCUCCCAACUCAACGCGCUCUUCCUCCCCAACCUCAUCUUCCUCACCCAACUCAUCAUCAUCUUCCUCACCCAACUCAUCAUCAUCAUCUCCCAACUCAACUCUUCCUCCCCAAAAUCAUCUUCCUCACCCAACCCAACCUCAUCUUCCUCCCCCACUCAAUGUCAUCUUCAUCCCCAACCCAACCUCAUCUUCCUCUUCCAACUCAACGCGCUCUUCCUCCCCAACUCAACCUCAUCUUCCUCGCCCAACCUAACAUCAUCAUCUCCCAACUCAACGCUCUUCCUCCCCCAACUCAACCUCAUCUUCCUCGCCCAACUCAACACAAUCAUCUCCCAACUCAACCUCAUCUUCCUCCCCAACAUCAUCUUCCUCCCCAACUCAACAUCAUCUUCCUCUUCCAAUUCAUCACGCUCUUCCUCCUCCAACUCAACCUCAUCUUCCUCCCCAACUCAUCAUCAUCUUCCUCUUCCAACCCAACACAAUCAUCUCCCAACUCAACUCUUCCUCCCCAAAAUCAUCUUCCUCACCCAACCCAACCUCAUCUUCCUCCCCCACUCAAUGUCAUCUUCAUCCCCAACCCAACCUCAUCUUCCUCUUCCAACUCAUCAUCAUCAUCUCCCAACUCAACGCCCUCUUCCUCCCCAACAUCAUCUUCCUCCCCAUCAACCUCAUCUUCCUCCCCAACCUCAUCUUCCUCACCCAACUCAACCUCAUCUUCCUCUUCCAACUCAACAUCAUCUUCAUCCCCAACUCAUCAUCAUCUUCCUCCCCCAACUCAACCUCAUCUUCCUCACCCAACUCAAUGUCAUCAUCUCCCAACUCAACGCCCUCUUCCUCCCCAAUGUCAUCUNNNNNNNNNNCUUUUAACCAUUUCCACCUUUUUUAACCAUUUCCUAUUUUUUUAA
rnacentral:lncRNA from 1 species